rnacentral:lncRNA from 1 species
CGAGGAGCCAGGAGGCCCCCGUGGUCUGAGCUGCUGCCGCUGCCCAAGCUACGCUUGGAUUCAGGAGGUUGCCUCCUAGCCGAUAGCCGAAGAGAGCGCCGUCCCCGGUCCCGCGGCACUGGUGCUGCUCGGUCCAGGACCAUUGGAUUAAAGUUGUGAAUUCUCUCUGGACAUCAGUAAAUAUGGAAAUGCCAUUGGGGAGGUGAGUAUCAACAAAUCAGACUGAUCCCAUCAGGGGACCUCUUAAGACAUUUGUGCUGCUGGCUCCC